GGGCCCGCACAAGCGGUGGAGCAUGUGGUUUAAUUCGAUGAUACGCGAGGAACCUUACCAGGGCUUAAAUGUAACGGGACAGAUCUAGAGAUAGAUCCUUCUUCGGACUCAUUACAAGGUGCUGCAUGGUUGUCGUCAGCUCGUGCCGUGAGGUGUCAGGUUAAGUCCUAUAACGAGCGCAACCCCUGCCGUUAGUUGCCAGCAUGUAAUGAUGGGAACUCUAACGGGACUGCCGGUGCAAACCGCGAGGAAGGUGGGGAUGACGUCAAAUCAUCACGGCCCUUACGUCCUGGCUACACACGUGCUACAAUGGCCGGUACAGAGGGCAGCCACACCGCAAGGUGGAG
rnacentral:rRNA from 1 species